rnacentral:rRNA from 1 species
UACGGAGGGAGCUAGCGUUGCUCGGAAUUACUGGGCGUAAAGCGCACGUAGGCGGCUUUGUAAGUUAGAGGUGAAAGCCCGGGGCUCAACUCCAGAACUGCCCUUGAUACUGGCGUGCUCGAGUCCGGGAGAGGUGAGUGGAACUGCGAGUGUAGAGGUGAAAUUCGUAGAUAUUCGCAAGAACACCAGUGGCGAAGGCGGCUCACUGGCCCGGUACUGACGCUGAGGUGCGAAAGCGUGGGGAGCAAACAGG